CGUUAAAAAUCAUCGCCUAAAAGCGGCGGACAGUCACAAAUCAGUUAUCAAAUAAUUAACAAGUGCUCGAGUUAAUUAACAAGACUAGCCGUUAUCCUGAAAAAACAAUUGUGCCCCACGCACACAACAAUACAGUAUAUAAUGUUUAAUCCAAGAAAUGUAGCAGUACUGCUAUACACUGCACUGUAUAUGACUGGGGAAUUCCCAGAAAGUCCUGUUACAACAGAUGAAAAUGAAACAAAAGACAUGAUGGAAAAUACACUUCGAUCAAUGUAUGAAGAAGCGUUUGAAGUUUAUGAAGAAUCAUCAUUAGAUUUUAAAACGAAUUUGAUAUACCUGAAGUAGAACCUGUAAUUGAUGAAGAAAGAGAAGGUGACACAUAUUUUGUAAAAGAAAUUGAAUGUGUUGCGGAUUCUGUACCAAUAGAAUAUAAAAGAAAUGCAGUAGAGUUUUGGAGAA